UUAUAACCCUGAUUCUUUCGUAAAAGAUAUUUCUGCCCGAUCAAGAUCAUCUUCUCAAAAUGAGAUCUAAGGGUAUCCUCUUCCAUUGGCCCCUGCAAACGCUGAAACAGUUGCCUGGCACUUCCCUUGGGAAUGCCAGGUAAUGUUGAAGGAUAAGGUUGAGAUGAUCCUGAAUCAUCAGCACUAUCAGCACCAUCACCACUACUUCUGUCCAUCAGUAUUUUGUGUUGUUCUUUGCAUUCCUUUGGUUUGCGGUAGAUACACUUGAAUUG
rnacentral:misc_RNA from 1 species